CCUACGGGGGGCAGCAGUAGGGAAUCUUUCACAAUGGGCGAAAGCCUGAUGGAGCAACGCCGCGUGCAGGAUGAAGGCCUUCGGGUUGUAAACUGCUUUUAUAAGCGAGAAAUAUGAUGGUAACUUAUGAAUAAGGAUCGGCUAACUACGUGCCAGCAGCCGCGGUCAUACGUAGGAUCCGAGCAUUAUCCGGAGUGACUGGGUGUAAAGAGUUGCGUAGGUGGCAUAAUAAGUAGCUAGUGAAAUCUGGUGGCUCAACCAUUCAGACUAUUAGCUAAACUGUUAAGCUCGAGACCGUUAGGGGUAACUGGAAUUUCUAGUGUAGGAGUGAAAUCCGUAGAUGUUAGAAGGAACACCAAUAGCGUAGGCAGGUUGCUGGGACGGUUCUGACACUAAGGCACGAAAGCGUAGGGAGCAAACGGGAUUAGAUACCCCAGUAGUC
rnacentral:rRNA from 1 species